GAGAUGUAGACAAGCAUGAAUUUUUCGGUUAUAUAGUGAUAAAAAAGUUUAUAUUUAUUACAUGCAAAUCAGAAAAAAUAUGGGUCAAAAUAUCAUGUUUGUUUAUUUUUUCAUCAUUUUUCUUUCUUUAUUUCUUUUUGUAAACAAUGCCUUUGGUAUCCCAUUUGGUUUUCCACCUCCAGCUCCAACUUCCUGCAAUUCUGAUGAUGAUUGUAUAGACGGCAUUAAUAGGCAUUGCGUUGAUAAUAUAUGUCAGAUGAUACUUAUUUAUGCAGAUUAAAAAUAAUUAUGUUACUACUAAGUGCAAUUUUAUUUAUAUGUAAGUUGUUUUAUAUAUAGCGUUUCUAUUUUGUAGACAA